CAGGGUUGUCUGUGUGGUGUCACUGUUCUCUGGAGGUGUCACCAAGAACGUAUCCAUGAUUAUUCCAGCUAGAACUCAAGCUUCAUUUCCUGGUGUACCUGAGGUCACUGAUGGUGACAGGAUCAGUGUUAAGCCAACAGUAAUUGUUUCAGUGAUGGGUUCACUGUGUUUCAUUGCUGUGUGCUGUGGAGCUGUGGUACUGUGGUGCAAACUGAGAAAUACAAUGAGAAGAAACUGCUGAGCAUGGUGUUGGUUGAACCGGAGUGGUACUACAAGUCUGAGGCAGAGUUACUGCACAAUGUCUUCUCUGGAGCUCAGCUUACCUACUUAUCUGUAUGUAAAUAUACAUCUGUCUGUCUGUCUGUCAGGCUCUCUGUCUCUGUCUCUCUGUCUGUACUUUUAGUUUCAAGUUAAGCUUCUACAAGUUGAGCAUAGGCUUUGACAUCAAGCUGGUUUUAUAGAAAAUAGACAAACUCAAGAUAACAUCUGAAGAACCCUCCAUAUCAUGACAAUGUAGCCAAUGAAAAUACAGUGACAUUGAAGCGCCUCCACAUGGAAGAAAAAUUUGACUCUGAAACUGGAACUUCCCCUAUAGAAAGAAUUUGACUUCAACAACAAAUCAAGGAGGAUGAUUCAAACACUUUAUUCAUAGAAAAUACAAGGUUGUUAUCCUAUUCACUUUAUCAAGUUACUUUGUGUUUUUUUGCUGUUUACACAUUAGGGAAAAUAACAGAUAGGUAUCAUAUAUGCAAAUAACUGUCAAAAAAUCUGAAUUGGGCUGCCUGUGUAAAUGCCGCCUUAUUGCAGCUUAUUACCUAUCUGUUAUUUUCCCUAAUGUGUAAACAGCAAAAAAACACAUUGAAUCUGAUUUUUUGAAUCCUGAUACAAACCCCAUCCUCCAUAUACGACCUCUGUCUGAAUGCUCAGAUUUUUUUGUUGUUGGCACGUGACGUUACCAUGACCACCACCCCAAAAUGUAAAGGAGCAGUGACAGGAAAUGAGAAUUGCAUUUCUGUGUGACUUCUGAGUGUGAAUGCCGAAAUCUGAUAUGGGUCUGAAAAAAAGAUUGGAUAUAGAAAGGAAAUCAGAUUUGGGGUCUUAGGCUGAAUGUGUAAACACAGUCAUAUAACUUCAGAGGAAGCACUCUGCUGCAUCUCAGCUGUGAUAUUUGUAACUUCUGACUGUUCUACAACACACCAUACCUCUAGUCAUCUGCUUAUCAGAACCUUGAAUAGUCCAAUCAGAUGUGGUAGAACUGUGCUGGAGAAAAAAGCCUGCACAACCAUUUUGGCCACCCCUGAUUUAUAUGUACAAAAGUUCCUAUGUCUGAUGAUUUUGCAGUAAAUUAUGUAUUUUUUGAUAACUCACUUUUGCUGACAGGUACAGUAUUUUAGUACUAGGGGUGUCUUCAGUAAACUUUAAAGUAACUUACAAAGUUUAUGUUGAAGAUUGUUGUAUUUUCCAGGAGCUUGCUCGAUUGUCUUGUUAAAAGAGAUCAGGGAAUAAUUUUCCAGUUUAUCCCAUAUUGGCUUAAAUGGGUUUCUGGUUUUUCGCUUCCCUCUGGAAAAUCAGCUCUUAGUAUUUCACAGUAAUAUUGAAUAAAUACUAAUAACUACCUUA